UACAACAUAGCAUUAAUUCAUCGGAUCCCAUUAGAAUUCUUCAGUUAAGCACGCUCAGGAUAGAGUAGUACAUGGGUGACCGCAUGGGAAGUCAUAGUGUUUUAC
rnacentral:rRNA from 1 species